rnacentral:tRNA from 1 species
GGGGAUUUAGCUCAGUGGUACCAGUGCCUGCCUGACAAGCAUGAGGUCCUGAGUUCAAUUCCCAAUUACCCCC